AGCCAAACGCACGCGCGCACAGACAAAGGUCCCCCGUGUAGCCUGCGGCGGGCUGCAGGGGGCAAGGGCUGUGAGCGAGCGGCCGCCUUUGUAUCCCCGGUCGCUGACGAUUGCGUUGUACGCACGACUGAGCGGUGGGGAUUCCCAGUGGCGAGCGGUGCUCGGCACCGAUCCUCGGCACCGAUCCUCCGCCUUCUGGGUCGACUCAGCCUUAAAUUGACGAGAAAAGAAAACACAAACCUCUGCCUCCACCAAGACAGAAGCAAUAAUAAUAAUAUUAUUAACCUCAUUAGCAUACAUACAUUAACAUAUCAAUUAACAUCACUAAUCGUAAGAGCGAUUGUAUAUCGUAGUUAUGAUAGGCUAUAAGAAUACGAUAUAAACAUAACCAUUGCAUAUGAUAGUUACUUUACGCAGAUUGUAAGACCCCUCCCCAACCGUAAUUUUAACAGACGGUAACACGCAGAUACACACACAGACAUACACAGACACAGAUACACACAGACACACACACAAACA